AGUGAACGCUGGCGGUAGGCCUAACACAUGCAAGUCGAACGGCAGCACAGUAAGAGCUUGCUCUUACGGGUGGCGAGUGGCGGACGGGUGAGGAAUACAUCGGAAUCUACUUUUUCGUGGGGGAUAACGUAGGGAAACUUACGCUAAUACCGCAUACGACCUACGGGUGAAAGCAGGGGAUCUUCGGACCUUGCGCGAUUGAAUGGGCCGAUGUCGGAUUAGCUAGUUGGCGGGGUAAAGGCCCACCAAGGCGACGAUCCGUAGCUGGUCUGAGAGGAUGAUCAGCCACACUGGAACUGAGACACGGUCCAGACUCCUACGGGAGGCAGCAGUGGGGAAUAUUGGACAAUGGGCGCAAGCCUGAUCCAGCCAUACCGCGUGGGUGAAGAAGGCCUUCGGGUUGUAAAGCCCUUCUGUUGGGAAAGAAAAGCAGCAGGUUAAUACCCCGCUGUUCUGACGGUACCCAAAGAAUAAGCACCGGCUAACUUCGUG
rnacentral:rRNA from 1 species